CUAGCUUUGGUGCUCUUUGUUAUCAAAGUGUGUUGCAAAUAGAAUUGUUAUGGUAACUGAGAGGCAGGGGAGCCAGUGCCUGACCUAUUUUAUUGACAGCAAAGCCGAGAUAGCUGCCUCAUCUGCCUGCCUAAUGAUUUGUGGUGUCAGCCCGAGAUGCCAGCUGGCUUUCCAAAACCACGGGGCAGGUCCGUCUUUAUUGUGUUUGUAACCCAGCUUCGUUACAGAUCCAAGGGAAGAAGUGAAAGACGCUGACAGGAGGUAAGAUGAGCUCCAAGGCCUCCAGACCUGGAGUGGUGGAUUGAGGCACAGGGUCCCUGACACUAUUCAAA
rnacentral:lncRNA from 12 species